UAAAUAGUUUGGCCAACGUUUGUUGGUCAUCAACUUCUUAGAGGGACUAUUGACUAUUAGUCAAUGGAAGUUUGAGGCAAUAACAGGUCUGUGAUGCCCUUAGAUGUUCUGGGCCGCA
rnacentral:rRNA from 1 species